UACGGAGGGUGCGAGCGUUGUCCGGAAUCACUGGGCGUAAAGGGCGCGUAGGCGGCCUGAUAAGUAGGGGGUGAAAUCCUGCGGCUUAACCGCAGGGCUGCCUUCUAAACUGUCAGGCUAGAGCACAGUAGAGGCAGGUGGAAUUCCCGGUGUAGCGGUGGAAUGCGUAGAGAUCGGGAGGAACACCGGUGGCGAAGGCGGGACUCUGGGCCGAUACUGACGCUGAGGAGCGAAAGCGUGGGGAGCAAACAGG
rnacentral:rRNA from 1 species